UCUUAUUCUCAUCUCGAUCUGCUGAUCAGGAAGAUUGCUGUGGGUGGAUAGGAGUCCACUGCCAUAACAUAAGUGGUCAUGAAGUCACGGAGCUCCACCUCCACGGUUUUGGAUUGGGCGGCAAGGUUAUCCUGCUCUGCUGCAACUAAAAUUUUUGAAUUACUUGGACUUGAGCUCCAAUGAGUUUGGAGGUGCUCCAGUUCCAAGUUUCUUGGGUUCCAUGCGGAGUUUAACAUACCUGAUGGACUAGCCCCCCCUCAGCUUGGAAAUCUUACCGAUCUUCAUUACCUCAGUCUAGGGGGUGGUUCCCAGAAUUAUCCUGAUAUUCUUCAUGGCUUAUAUGUUUGAGGCCCUCAGUUGGAUUUGUCAUAUCUUCUUUGCAAAACCUAUCUAUGGUUGAAGUUGACCUUCACAGGGAAGUUCAUUCCUUUGAAUAUAUCUAUGCUAUCUCUACUUGUCCGAUUGUGAAAUUGAUAGCAUGAAUCCGUCGCUUGGGUAUGUAAAUCUUACAUCUCUCACAUACCUUCAUCUUUCUGGGAAUCAUUUCAAUCAUGGGACACCUAAUUAGCUCCAUGACUUGACCAUUGAUGCUAUGGCAGUGAACUCCUAUCCACCCACGGCAAUCUUCCUCUGCAGUCCAAGAUGAGAGUCGGAGUUGGUUUGCGGGGUCUGAGAGAGCUUGUUUGAAGCUAAGCAGGGCAUUUUUCUGCUUCUCAUUGCAAACCAAGG
rnacentral:lncRNA from 1 species